rnacentral:tRNA from 1 species
GGGGAUUCAGCUCAGUGGUAGAGUGAGUGCUUGCCUUGUAUGCACAAGGCCUUGGGUUCAAUCCCCAGCACCA